CCGGUCCAGGAAGAGCAGGCGGAAGUGACAAGGCCGGAGCCCCGGAUCCUAGAUUCCGAUUGGUCUGCAACAGAAAGGGCGUUGACUCCGGCGAAGACCAUUUUUGUUUUGGAAAGAAUGGUGCACAGAAGGAAAAAUAUCCCAGAAGGAACUGAAGAAACAAGAACUUAAAGCACAGGAAUGAAUUCAGAAAAAAAAAAAAAAGAAUGCAAAUUUAAAAUUUUUUGAAAA